rnacentral:rRNA from 1 species
ACUCCUACGGGAGGCAGCAGUGGGGAAUCUUGCGCAAUGGGCGAAAGCCUGACGCAGCCAUGCCGCGUGAAUGAUGAAGGUAUUAGGAUUGUAAAAUUCUUUCACCGGGGACGAUAAUGACGGUACCCGGAGAAGAAGCCCCGGCUAACUUCGUGCCAGCAGCCGCGGUAAUACGAAGGGGGCUAGCGUUGCUCGGAAUUACUGGGCGUAAAGGGAGCGUAGGCGGACAUUUAAGUCAGGGGUGAAAUCCCGGGGCUCAACCUCGGAAUUGCCUUUGAUACUGGGUGUCUUGAGUAUGAGAGAGGUGUGUGGAACUCCGAGUGUAGAGGUGAAAGUCGUAGAUAUUCGGAAGAACACCAGUGGCGAAGGCGACACACUGGCUCAUUACUGACGCUGAGGCUCGAAAGCGUGGGGAGCAAACAGGAUUAGAAACCCUAGUAGUCCCAUGA